AGCUUUUCUCUUUGAUUUUGAUAUGUGUUCAUUUGAUUUCUGUCGGUUCCAGUCGUCCCUCCGUCCGUUCAAGUCACCAGUUGCCGAUCAGGAAUUAGCUACCCCCUCCAUUCGUCCAGUCGCCGGACGCGGGGCAGCCAUCUUCCUGGUAAGUGAUUUUUUUUUUAAUUGUAUUCUUAUUCCAUUUGUUUCCUUCUUUUUACAAGAGUUGGUAAAAUUAAUUAAUGUGGGGAUUUGGAUUUUGGUGGAAUUAGCUAUAUAUGACUUCAUUCUUUAGACUUUGCUUCCACUGUUUAGUAGAUUCAUCAAUUCACGAUCAUCAUGUUAAAUGCUAUACUAUGAAUUAUUAAAUGUAACUACCUCUGCUAUUUAAUUUUAUAGGAUGUCUAUGUAUAUUUCUUUGUGACCCAUGGUGGAUAUCCUUAAAUUAAAGUAGUAUAUAGUUUCUCGUUUUUUUUUAAAAAAAAGUAGUAUAUAGUUUCUGUGUAUUUGCCACCUCUCCAUACUACAAAAACACUAUUGAAAUACCCAUGUAAUAAUAUAAUCCUUGCCCAAACCUGAUGAAAAACUCGCAUGCAUAUUUAUACUAUAUUAAAAAUGGAGUUCUCAAUUUCAAAUUAAUUUCAAAAUUGAGUGACAAAUUUGUGAUUAUAAUAAAAUUAAAGGUUUUUUUUUUACUUGGGGGAAUAAAAUUAAAGGUUUAUUUAUAACCUAUACAUCUUUUUUUUCCUUUUUUUCUAUUUUAUUUCUUUUCUAAAAAUGUGAAAUUCGACUAAUUAUAAAAUAUUUGAUAUGCAUAUCAAAUUAAAGAUCAUGACAUGAGCUUUAAUUUGAUACUGUAAAUAUUAGAUUUAAAAUAUAAAAAAUAUAUUUGUUUAAAGAUUAAAACUUAAGAAGAUUCUCUCUCCUCUCUCCUCUUUUUUUUGAAUAAAUCUAUUUUUUUUCAAUUAUCUUUUAACUUAUAGUAUUGUUUUCUUUUUUUCACAAUAUCAAUUUUUAUUAAUGUGGAUUAUUCUUUAUUUUUUAUAUUAAACUAAAAUAUUUAUCUUAAAUUACAGUAUUUUUUAAUUAUAUUUAGAUUUUUUAUAUAAUAAUCAAAUUAAUAUAAAUUUUAUAUAUAAUAAAAUAUAAAAAUAUGUUUCGCGCGUUGCACGAGUGCAAAUGCUAGUAUGCAAAACUGGAACAAGAAAUUUAUUCAUCAUUGGAGCUAGAGUAUUUGACUAAUUAAUGGAAGAAGACCAAAUAUAAACUGAUGAUUCAUCCAAAUCCCAUAUAUAAGGAAUAUCAAAAUAAACAUAUAAGGAAUAUGAAAAUCCUUGCAAUUCGAGAACUAUGUUUUGAAAGUCUUCACAGAUUCAUUAUCAGUAUUAAUAUAUUAUUUAUAAUUAAUUAUUAUAACUAAAGUGAUUAGUAUAACUAUAACGAUUAAUUAUUAAUAUUUCUUUUUUUGUAUUCUUAUUCAUUCAUUUUAUUUUCUUAUUUUGAUGGAAUUUAUGUAAAGUGAUAGCUAAUUCUAAAAAAUUUAUAUGUUUGUUUAUAUAUGUUGUUGUAAUGGAGUAAGACAAAACAAAGGCAGAGACCAAGGAAACAGAGUUGCUACGAGGGUAAGUAUUUUCUUCAUUUUUUAUAUUUAACUAUGGCUCAAAUAGCGGCUAUGGUCUAGUUUUAAAUUUUAGAUGAGCAUGUAUCUAGAUAGUAAAUGAAGAUUAGGUUGGGGGAUAAUUGUGUUCCAUCUCAUUUUAUUGUUAUAUGGUGAUGAUCUGGAGUCGUUUACAUAUUGUUGUGUUUGAUUUGCUUUUUAGUUGUUUAAAAUUCAAUAUUCUAUAUUAUCAUGUUAAAAUUCAAUGUCCUAAUUAUAAAAUUAUAGGUUUUGUUAAAAUUUUCUAACAUCGUAUUAUUUAGACAUUAGAUAAAAUGAGCGAAAAUCGUGAGUGGAUAUAUCGGCGGUUUCUACGCGAUGGAACUUUCAAUCCCAAAUUUCAAAGAGGUUUUCAAGAAUUCAUAAAUUUUGCUAAUAGUAGAUGAGAUUUAAUGGAUGGGAAAAAGGUUAAGUAUUCGUGUAGGAAAUG
rnacentral:lncRNA from 1 species